rnacentral:tRNA from 1 species
GCUGGAAUAGCUCAGUGGUAGAGCACACCCAUGGUAAGGGUGGGGUCCUGGGUUCAAGUCCCAGUUCCAGCU